AUCCAGUUAGAUCAGUCAGUAGAACAUGAGACUCUUAAUCUCAAGGUUGUGGGUUCAAAAGAUUCCUGCAUUGCAGG